AUCGAUUCCAGCGGGAGCUCGCGCGUAGCGGGCUGAGAGGGCGCCGGGCGCCGACCGCAUGAACCUGAACUGGGUAAUGCCAGCGGAGGGAGACCCAUGAGCGAUA
rnacentral:ncRNA from 2 species